AUGCUUGCUUUGCUAGCACAUACACUAAAAUUGAAAUGAGGUAGAGAAGAGUAGCAAGGCCCCUUCACAAUGAUGACUUGCAAGUUGAUGAAGUAUUCCAUAUUUUA
ensembl:snRNA U6 U6 spliceosomal RNA